CCUACAUGAGCGAGGCGGGAGAGGGGCCCUGACAAACUGGAACUCCUAGAGGAGAAGAGGAAGGGGCAGAGGGGUCCACAAGACCGUGACGAUGGCACCGUGAGCCUGCACAGCCCCAGCGCCCCAGCCUCACUAGGCUGCUGGAGAGGAAGAGGAAAGGUCCAGAGGAGAUGUCUGAGAGGUGUGUGGAGAGACAGGCCCUAGUGGAGGUGAGCAGAGGGACCGGUGGGCUCUCCCAGCACCUCCAUUACAGCUGAGACAGGUGCCCAAACCACUAGACACAAGUAGUUGCAAUCUCUCACCAUCUUCCUAGGUGCCCACUUUUUUCAGCUGUGCCCACUCUGAAGGGCAGAUCAACCCGGAAGGGCAGGGAAAGUGUCAAGGUAGAGGCUUCCCACAUGGAGGUCAGAGGUCAAGGGUCAGCAGUUAAUGGGUCUAGCCUUGAGACCCACACAGACCUCUUCUCACUAGUCCAAUAGAGAGAAAUCCCUGGGGAGACACAUAUAAACAAGGGUGCAUAUAAAACUGGUAAAUCUGAUAAGCUGGAUAUGCCACACCAAUGUCACUUUUCCUGAUAUUCAUACAAGGUGUCACCCCUGGAAAAAGCCAAGUGAAGCGUCCAAGAUCUGUCUGUGUUAUUUCUGACAAGGGCAUAUUAAUUUACAUUUCUAAACUACAACAAAAGAAAUUUAAGGUAUAAGGUCCAGGGAAUACCUCAGUAUUAGAGGGCUGGCAUAGGAUUUCUGAGAGUCUCAGUUCUGUUUGGAAUCAUACACACACACACACACACACACACACACACACACACACACACACCUUUAGAGAUCCAGACCUGACUGUGAACUCUAAAAGGAUGAACCCUGGGAAGAGCUGAAAGCCAGGGUCACUCAGAGAUGGGGCUGGCCACACCCUGUCUACCAGUCCCUGGCAACCUCCAGUGAUGAAUUGAAUUCUACAGUAGCAUUGGAGCUAGCCUGAGCCUGGCCUUGGGGCUGUGGGAAGCCUCGGAGGGUCUGUUCCCUUCUUGAUGUACACAGUCUUGAAGAAAGCUCCACAGUGUCUCAAGGCACAGGGGAGAUCCUGCCGUGGAAGCAACUGGGGUGGCCCUGGUUAAUUUUCCGCGAUGGGCAGAAGAGUGGCCUCUCGUAUAGGACUGUUUUCAGGUCUCGCUGAGAUCAUCUGUGAUGGACUGGGCUCCCAGCACCCUACCCUACCCUACCUAAAUCCUUACCGGCUCUCCUCGCCCUCCAGCAGUUUCCGGUAUAGGAAGCACCUCACAUGGAGAUACAGGACGGGCGCCAGCGCCCCUUGGCCAGACCACCUACCUUGGACUUGUACCACUCCUCAGCUUCAGAGAUGUUCUUAGCCGCGAUGGUCUCGUACUGAGCACGGAUGUCCCUGAGGGCCGCUGUGAGGUCUGGCUUGGACAUGUCCAUCUCCACCUGGACCUGCUGUUCCUGAAGCUGGGCCUGAAGCUCACGGAUCUCCUGCAGGACCCAGCUGGGUUUCAGUCCCCUUCCAAACCCUCCCAGAACACCUUCGCUCCCCAUUUCAGAGUCAGCCCCUUUUCUGGCUGCUUUCUGCAUCCCCCAAGGGCCCUGGUACCUCUUCGUGCACUUUCUUAAGGAAUGCAAUUUCCUCAUUGAGUGACUCGAUUCUGCGCUCCAGGUCGAUGCGAGCUAGCGUGGCUGCAUCUACAUCCUGAAUAUGGGGAAACAAGAACUUUAGGGUCUGGAACAGCUCAAGUGGAGCCGAGGGGGAGAAAAGAGAGAGAUGUCUAUUGGGGAGCAGAGAGGGCUCACCGCUCGGAAGGCAGCCAGAUUGUUCUCUGCUUCUUCCCUCAGUUGGAUUUCCUCCUGCAGCCUAGGCAGGACAGACAGACAAAUAGUGAGUGGUAGAGCUGUCAAUAGAAACCACUGCCUGGGACCUAUCAGGGAGCCAGCUCAGGACACAGGGACAAGUCCUGGUUGCUGGGUAGAAACAAGAGGCCUGGGGGAAAAAAAAUAGCAGAGGCCCCUCCCAUGGGAGGGGGAGGGGGACAGGAAGUGGCUCAGUCUCAACCCUGGAGCCACACCCUUGAAGUCUAUGUCCCAAAUAGCUUGACCUCCCUGGGGUUAGGAACUCUGUUUUAUUUUAUCCACCUCUGUGUUCUCAGACCUAGCCUGACCAAGUGGCUGUUAGUUAAAUAAAUGUUUGCGACU